rnacentral:rRNA from 1 species
GUGGGGAAUUUUGGACAAUGGGCGCAAGCCUGAUCCAGCAAUGCCGCGUGCAGGAAGAAGGCCUUCGGGUUGUAAACUGCUUUUGUACGGAACGAAACGGUCCUGGCUAAUAUCCGGGGCUAAUGACGGUACCGUAAGAAUAAGCACCGGCUAACUACGUGCCAGCAGCCGCGGUAAUACGUAGGGUGCGAGCGUUAAUCGGAAUUACUGGGCGUAAAGCGUGCGCAGGCGGUGCUGUAAGACAGGCGUGAAAUCCCGGGGCUCAACCUGGGAAUUGCGCUUGUGACUGCAGUGCUGGAGUGCGGCAGAGGGGGAUGGAAUUCCGCGUGUAGCAGUGAAAUGCGUAGAUAUGCGGAGGAACACCGAUGGCGAAGGCAAUCCCCUGGGCCUGCACUGACGCUCAUGCACGAAAGCGUGGGGAGCAAACAGGAUUAGAUACCCUGGUAGUAC